CAGUAAGCGAGGGGUGCGGGGGAAAUCCGCAGUAACCUGCAGGCAGCCGGGGCUGGCCCUGCGCGGGAGGAGGGCGGGACGAGCGCGGAGCGCUGCGCGCCGCUCCGCCGGCUUCUCAUGCGCGGAGCCCGGCUGGAGAGAGGAGACCAUCCAUCCAUCCCUCCGCAGCCGAGCCGGGCCGGGAUGUUCGCUCGGCAGCUUUUCUCGGAGGCAAUUUGAAGGUGUUUCCCGCGCCACUCCCCGGUCCUCCGUGGGGGUUUGGAGGGAUUGCCUUGCACAAUCCCCGCAGGAGAGUCCGCGUUUCCCCGGCGUGGGUCGUUGCCACGGAGCGCUCCGUGGGACGCGUCAGCCGCCCCAGACGAGCCGGGCCAGGGGCACCGCAGCCCGCGCCUCGCCGAGGGAGGACCUGCAGCCCCGAGCACUGACGCGGCGUUUAGGGGCAGCCUGAAGGCUGGGUGCUUCAUCCUCCUUCGGGCCCUUCUAAACGGAAAAUCGGAGAGAAAAUCCCCGAUCAUCUUCCCCGUCCCUCUUGUGCCGCUCCUGGCAUCAAGCAAGGGAGCAAGGAUGCACCCGGGAUCCUGUCGCCGAGCGAGAAAGUAAAGGGACUGCCGCCUGGAACCAGGUUUUCAGGGAUCGUAACGACGAGGCAGAAAUCCGAGUCGGGUCCACAGGGAGGGAGGGACUCAGGUCACUCCAUCGAGGCUUUCCCACGCUCGCUCUACCGUCUCCUUAACACUGGGAAACUGAAACACCCGUGGCAAGCAUCCUGGAAUAUCUGCACUGAAUAUACAUUGGGCAAUUUCAGCUAUAUUUAUAAUGUUUAUGGCUGUGGAUCAACAAAUAUAGAUAGGAUAUGACUGCUAAAAGGAGCCAUAAGACAAAAGGGCAAGAAAGGAAGCUACAAAUCCUUUUCAAAAGGCAAAGAAAAGAAAUGAGCAG